rnacentral:rRNA from 1 species
CCUACGGGUGGCAGCAGUGAGGAAUAUUGGUCAAUGGACGCAAGUCUGAACCAGCCAAGUCGCGUGAGGGAAGACGGUCCUAUGGAUUGUAAACCUCUUUUGUCAGGGAGCAAACGCAGACACGCGUGGCUGUCUGAAAGUAUCGUACGAAAAAGGAUCGGCUAACUCCGUGCCAGCAGCCGCGGUAAUACGGAGGAUUCGAGCGUUAUCCGGAUUUAUUGGGUUUAAAGGGUGCGUAGGCGGUCUGGUAAGUCAGAUGUGAAAUUCUGCGGUUCAAAUUCGGACUUGCCUCUGAUACUGGCCGGCUUGAGUGUAGUAGAGGUAGGCGGAAUGGGUGGUGUAGCGGUGAAAUGCUGAGAGAUCACGCAGAACCCCGAUUGCGAAGGCAGCUUACCAAGCUACUACUGACGCUGAGGCACGAAAGCGUGGGUAUCAAACAGGAUUAGAUACCCCAGUAGUC